AUUGAACGCUGGCGGCAGGCCUAACACAUGCAAGUCGAACGAGUGGCGGACGGGUGAGGAAUGUCUGGUAAACUGCCCGAUGGCGGGGGAUAACUAGUGGAAACGGUAGCUAAUACCGCAUACAAUCGGAUGUGCCCAGAUGGGAUUAGCUAGUAGGUGGGGUAACGGCUCACCUAGGCGACGAUCCCUAGCUGGUCUGAGAGGAUGAUCAGCCACACUGGAACGGAGACACGGUCCAGACGCCUACGGGAGGCAGCAGUGGGGAAUAUUGCACAAUGGGCGCAAGCCUGAUGCAGCCACGCCGCGUGAGUGAAGAAGGCUUUCGGGUUGUAAAGUACUUUCAGCGGGGAGGCGGUACUCGAAGAAGAAGCAACGGCUAACUCCGUGCCAGCAGCCGCGGUAAUAC
rnacentral:rRNA from 1 species